UUUUGUUGAAGGAAAGAAAUCUUUAAGUAGUUGCUAAUGGUCAAUAGAGUACAAGUGUUGUUAGGGAUAUCCCAUAAGAUUAGGUGUUGGUCUAUAGUGCAUUAGAGUACAAGGGGAGGGUUGGUCCUAGGAGAUAUCUCAUAUGGGUUGUAGCACUUGGUACCUUGGUACUAGUAUAUAAGGAAAGGGUUGGCAUGGGAAGAAUCAUCUCAUACCACACUCUAUUUGUUAAAGUGCAACCUUGCUGGUCCUAACUUACUUGUGUGGAGUAUGCUUUCUAUGUUUCAAUAGGUUAUGGGCCCACAUUCUCUUACCAAGUAAGUUGUUCUUGCAUUAUUUCUUUGUUGCUUAUUUUUGGUGGUUGAGAUCUUAUGGUAGAGUGUUGCUAGUGAAUUGUUGAAGUCAUUGCUCCUGGAUUUGUGAGUGUAUGAGCUUAGUGCAAGACCUUGAUAGUGUCUUUGCUAAAGG
rnacentral:lncRNA from 1 species